AUGCGGAUCUCCACCCGCCGGCGCCUGACCUUAGCGCCGGGGUGGUCCGCUCCGGUGCCGGCCGGAUCUGGAUCGCGAUUUUCUUGCCUCCGUGCUGAUGACGGAGGUGAGGACUCCUCGACGGCCGAGACCUCCGAGGCAUCGCGCCGGCGUAAGACUGACGAGGAGCUGGCCGCCGAGUUUUGGGCCGACAUUGGGUAUCCUACAUCAGCCUCACGAGUAUGGGGGAGACCGUCUUCUAGGCGAGGAUCUGCUCAGAAGGAUUGUGCACAAGAGAGUCUCUCCAUCUCGUACUCCGGGAGAUGCCAUGCCCUCGGCCGGCUUGGCGAGGACGGCGGUGAUCACGCCGACGACGCCUCCGAUGUUUCCUGCGACGGGCGUUUCGCCGGACGAGUCGGGGCGGUCGAUGGGCCUGGGCCCUCACCCAAUCUCAGGGACACUCCUCGCAGAAACCCUAAUCUUCCUCGAUCCUUCGUGGCUGCCGUCUGCUCAGGGAUGGGUCGCGACGCGUCCGCGCCGCCGGGCUCUGGGCAGGUCCGACCUGCAACCGCCGCACCGAUGCCCUCGGAAGCCUCCUCGUCUGGUGGCGCCCCUGGCUUCGCACCUGGGGUGUUCCCCCCGGUGAUCCCUUCUUCCUCCGCUCAAAGUGUCAUGCCGAACCUUCCCCAACAGACUCCAGCACCGGGGCAGCAGCAACAACAGAUGUAUCAAAUGCCGCAGCAGUUCUUUCAGCAGCAACCGAUGUAUCAUGCGCCGCCGGGGUACAUGCAGCAAAUGGCGCCGGUGUACUCAUAUCAACCAGCUGGCCCUUUCUUGCAACAGAGCCAUGGUCACCCCACUGCUGUCCAGCCAAUGGCCUUUAACGCUGGUCUGGCAAACUCGGCGGCCGGAGUUCAGACAGGGAAUAUCCGUCCUAGGAAACCGAAGGGAGGAAAAGGAAAUCGGCCUAAGAACUGUGCGGGAAACGCCCCGAUCAUCGCUGCUCCACCCACCUUGCAUCAUGGCAUACAAGGUGCUCCGGCUUUUGUCUCGGGGCCUCUUGUGACUGCUGCUCCUCUUAUGGCAACGGCUCAACAACAACAUGAUGUGGCUCAGGCGGCACCUGCUCCCGGGGUGAACACGGUAAUGACCAAGUUAUGGUGUACCAAGUGUCAGUCGGUCGGACAUGUGGCUUCAGAUUGUGAAACACAGCAGUAUUGUUUCAUCUGUAGCAAGGCGAACCAUCCGAUGACUACUCGGCGGUGUCCAGCUCUCAAGAUGCCGAAGCCGGCGGCGAUGCUUUGUGGCUAUGGGACUGAGAGCAUGGCCUUCUUUCAGAUGCCUGACAAUGUUUGCAGGGCAGACCUUGCACCACAAUCCUCCCCAACGGCUCUUGUUUCGAUCUCGGGAGGCUCUAUCUCUUCGAGCAUUGUGGAGGCGGAGGUUGCUAAGAUCGCUCAAUAUCAGCAACAGUGGACGUGGGAGGCUAUCCCUCAUGGCCAGAAUGCUUUUGUCAUGUCUUUCCCCAGUGACGAGGUGCUCCUGAGAGUUACUGGUUUCACGGUCUUCAUCAAAUCGCAUAAUGUCACUUUGGAGUUCAAGGCUUGUCAUUCCGAGGAGAUUCCGAAUCGUUUUGAGCUUAUUCCAGUUUGGGUGCAUGUACACGGAGUUCCUCACGCUCUCCGGCAUUUCUUGGGUCUCUGGGCAGUUGGCUCUGUUAUUGGCACCACUCUUGAUGUCGACCUCCUUUGCUUGCGCCGCCGUGGUAUUGUGAGGAUUCAGGUUGGCGUGCUUAAUCUUGAUGCUUUUAAGAUGAGCCCUGUCAACUCCCUCUCGUCGGAUGUGGUUGUUCAGAAGAAGGGCUAUGAAUUCCGGUACACUCUAGAAGAUGAUGAUUUCCGUGUGGACGCUGAUUUUGUGCCUCGCGUUUGGGAGCAUGGCGAUGAUACGGAAGGGGACAAGGAGCAUGAUCGAGAGGACACUUCAAGGGCUGAUGACAAGAGCAAGAGGCUGAAAGCGUCUUCGUCGUCAGCUAACACGGCGGCAUCAUCUUCCUUUGGAGGAGUGGUUCCGAUGCAAAUCACCUCUUCCACGACCGUUCCUGCCAGUACACAUCCAUGCUUGGCAUCGCGGCCUUUGUCGGGGGACCCGCCAGCGGCAACGGAGCUCGUGCCGCCCCAGAACCCUCCCUCGCUUGCCAGCUCUGCACCGCCUCCACCACCUCAACCGGAUGCUUCACCCAUCCUUGGUAUUUCAUUAGAUAGAAAUGAUGCAGUAGUUGAUUUCUCAGUUAAAGCUCUUAAGCAAAUGGAGUUCGACCGGCUUACGGUUGCUCCUAAAACGCUUCUGACGGUGGAUCCACUAGUAUCAGAUGAGGAGGAUGAGGAGUCCGAUGCCAACCAUGAAGGCAGACUCCUCUCUCAUCUGGUCAAUGAUACUACAGAGGUAGACUUUGAAGAUACCAUGCGUGAUACGAUGCUUUGUGAGCUCGUUGCAUCGGUAUAGCAUGUUGUCAACUCAGAAGGUGCACUCGAGUUCCCCUUGUUUCACACCGACCACCCAUGCGUUCAACAACAUCGUGGUCGUCCGAUGUCAACUGAAAGCAUCACUGAAACUGAUGAUACGGACCUGCCCAUUGACUUGAUACGGAAUGACAGCAUAAACGACUUUGCCUUUCUAAUGCCCGUCCAGCUGGGCGCGCCACCGGUCUGGAACCUCGUGGCAGUUGACACUGGAUCUCCACUCUGCUUUGUUCAAUGUAGACCUUGCACCCUCUGGUGCAACGAUCAAGAGGGUGCUGGCCAGAUAUUCGAUCCCAAGAAGUCCAAGAGUUUCAGGCGUAUUGGGUGCUCGGCGAAAGCCUGCCGCGCACUUCAGUCGCGGCUGCGUCUGCCGUUCAAAGCAUGCAUGGAGAAAGAGGAUAGCUGCCUUUACAGUGCGUCAUACGGGAAAGGAUCCUAUUAUUCAGUCGGCAAGCUGGUGGCAGACACAAUCUCCAUUGGGCGUGAUGGCAAGGGAUACAGUAUUCCCAGCUUCAUCUUCGGCUGCAGCUUGGACAUCGAGUAUGAUCAGGGCGAGGCCGGCAUAUUCGGGUUCGGUGCCGCGCCGUCUUCUUUCUUCUCACAGGUAGUACGGGUGGUUAACUAUCGGGCAUUCAGGUACUGUUUUCCGAGUGACAGAAAGAAGACUGGAUAUUUGUCCAUCGGGGAUUACAACCGUGACAAUUCUACUUCUUACACCCCCUUGUUCGUGGCUCAUCAACGGCCGGUGUUUGCACUGACGCUGGAUAAGGUGGUGGUCGAUGGGAUCACGCUCAUCACAGACCCCUCAGAAAUGAUGGUUGACACUGGGGCAAAAUGGACGGUGCCGCGGUCUGAUACCUUCAGCCAACUUGAGACGGUAAUCUCCAAGGCUUUGGGAACUUUGGGAUAUAAGCGCACCCUUGUUCUGGGACCAAAUCAUAUGUGCUAUGAGGAGGACUUAUUCACAGUGUUCCGCAAUUGGUCCGCUUUGCCUGUGGUACAGCUUUCGUUCGACAUGGCUGCGAAACUUACAUUGGCACCCGAGAGCUCAUUUCAUUUUACAAGCAGUCAUGGACUAUGCACGUAUUUCAUGAGAGAUGCUGGCAUGGGGAAAGCAGAGAAGGUUAGUAGCAGAAGGUUCUUAGCUUGUGCAGAGAAGAUGAGCCUAGCUAGGAUUUGGGGCAUGUAUGAGGAUGAGAACAAGCUGAGGCUGAGGCACAAUGUAGUUAAUGCUGAAGAAAAUAUUAAGAUCCUCGGAGAGAAGAAAAAGAUGGAAAAAGAGUUGAGGUUUCUUAAGGUUGAUUUUGCUAAAAUGGUGACUGAUAAAGAGCAGGCAUUGGCCCAACUAGGCAACACACAGCUUGCUCUGACAGACUUGAAGCAAGAACUUGAGAAGAAGAAAUUUUGUGACAAAUCUGUCACAAAUAUUCAUCAGGUUAUGAGGGCCAAGACAGAGAAAGAGAGGGACUUGAUGCAGCAGGAGAGGGACAAAUUAAUGGAAGAGGGACAGUUUGGUGUUGUAGAGAGAUCAGCUAAGCAAGAUAAAAAAGAAGUUGAAGUACAUGAUAGGUGA
rnacentral:rRNA from 1 species